GUAGAUAUCUGCUUGGGGCAAACAAAGGGAAAUCAAUUAUUGGUUGGGAUAUGUUAUAAACCACCUAAUGUAAAUAUUAUUGAGGAAGAACAGCUGUUAGAGCAAAUUGGGAAAGCUGCAAAUCUGGGUAACACGUUAAUUAUUGGAGAUUUUAAUUAUCCAGACAUAAAUUGGGAUAGAGGGACUAGUACUUCAGCAAGGGGAAUCAGGUUUUUGAAUGUGUUAAAUGACACCUUUAUGUCACAACUGGUACAAGC